rnacentral:rRNA from 1 species
UACGUAGGGGGCAAGCGUUGUCCGGAAUCAUUGGGCGUAAAGCGCGUGUAGGCGGUCCGGUAAGUCGGUUGUGAAAGUCCAGGGCUCAACCCUGGGAUGCCGGUGGAUACUGUCGAGCUCGAGUCCGGAAGAGGCGAGUGGAAUUCCUGGUGUAGCGGUGAAAUGCGCAGAUAUCAGGAGGAACACCAAUGGCGAAGGCAGCUCGCUGGGACGUGACUGACGCUGAGACGCGAAAGCGUGGGGAGCAAACAGG